CCUUACCUACCCUUGACAUGUACGGAAUCCUGCUGAGAGGCGGGAGUGCCCGAAAGGGAGCCGUAACACAGGUGCUGCAUGGCUGUCGUCAGCUCGUGUCGUGAGAUGUUGGGUUAAGUCCCGCAACGAGCGCAACCCUUGUCCCUAGUUGCUACGCAAGAGCACUCCAGGGAGACUGCCGGUGACAAACCGGAGGAAGGUGGGGAUGACGUCAAGUCCUCAUGGCCCUUAUGGGUAGGGCUUCACACGUCAUACAAUGGUCGGAACAGAGGGUUGCCAAGCCGCGAGGUGGAGCCAAUCCCAGAAAACCGAUCGUAGUCCGGAUCGCAGUCUGCAACUCGACUGCGUGAAGCUGGAAUCGCUAGUAAUCGCGGAU
rnacentral:rRNA from 1 species